CCCCACCAGCUAUACCCACCCAAAUAUGAAGCUCGACUUGAGAGAGCUGAUCAGAGGAGUGUUGGGGCAGAAGGGAGAGGAGGGCGGAGAGAGCCGUAAUCAAUCCCAUCGUUGCUUCCAUUUUUGUUCCUUGGUUUUCUUUGUUUUCGUUUCUCAGGUGAGGGCUGGAUGGCUCUAAAACUCUCUGAUAAUUUUUAUUUAUUUUGUAUUUUUGAGAGAAAGUAUAGCUUAUUGUUUUUGUACUUUAGAGGCCAUGAACGCAGCAACCAAGUUGGCUCGAUAUGCUCGUCUUCACUUUCUUUCUCCGUCUACCCCACUUGCCAAAUAAGUUUUGCUCUCAUACAGUCUCACUGUAAAAUCCAAGGUCCCUUUUUGGCCCGAAAAAGUUUAUGCUACUUUCGAAGCUCCAAUCUUGAAAACCAAGAUCCAGUUUAGAAAAGAAGAAAUGCUCUCGAAAAUCUCAGUUACCCACGUGAAAGCAUCACCAUCUGCAUCCACUUCUGGAUUUAUUAAUUUUUUUAAAGGGUUGAAAUAUAAUUUUGCCUCUGCACACAUUUAGCACAGGCAAUUAAACUGACGGAAUUGAGAUAUGUGACUUG
rnacentral:lncRNA from 1 species